rnacentral:rRNA from 1 species
UAUUAUUUUGUUGUUGUAUUGUUUUUGAUUUAAUUUUUUAGAUGAUAGUUUAUUUGUACCGUGGGGGUUUGGGUUUCUUCUUUUGGAAGUUGGCCUGGUUUGCUGUACCUUGUGUAUCAGGGUUUACUGAAUUUUAUUAUUUAUUUUUAUUUCCCGAUUUCGAAGGAGUUAGUGAUUUGUUUUAGUUACUGUUGCAUCAGUAUUAAGUACAUAUUGCUGGUAGUGAAAUGUUAUUCGUCUUUGGUGGUUUCUGGUUUUUCAAGAAAUGAAUUCAAUUCAUACGUCUUGUUUUAAUUUUUAUUUUUCUUAAUUUUUUAUUACUUGGCGUUAAGAUUAAGGGGGAUUAGCUCUUUAUUCUGUUUUUAUAACUUGUUUCUUUUGUGUUAGUCUUGUGGAUUUUAUGGUGAUUAUCGGUUUGAUUAUGUUAAAAUUUUAUUGGUUGUUUGUUUAAUUUUGUUUUGUUUAAUUAUUUAUUGAAAUGUUUUCUUUAUCUUUGGAUUGUGUAGUAAUUAUUGUGGAAUUAGUAUAUUGUGUUAUUAGGUUGUUAUAUUUUGUUGUUAAUUCCUUUUGAGGAACUAGGCAAAUAUUAGAUAUCCGCCUGUUUAUCAAAAACAUCUUUUCUCGUUAGUUUUUGAAGUAUGGCCUGCCCACUGAAGGUUUUAGUUUGAAGGGCCGCGGUAUUUUGACCGUGCAAAGGUAGCAUAAUCAUUAGUUCUUUAAUUGUGAUCUGGAAUGAAUGGCUUGACGAGAUAUCGGCUGUCUUAGAGGUUAGGAUUAAUUUUGUUGAAUUUGGUUUUUGAGUUAAAAUUCUUAAAUGUUUUUAUGGGACGAGAAGACCCUAUAGAGUUUUACAUGUCAGUCUACUUUGGUUUAAAGGUGGUUUGUUUUUGUUGGUUGGUAGGUUGUACUGUGUUUUGUUGGGGUGAUGGGAGGAAAGUAUUUAACUCCUCUUUGUUUUGUUAUACUAAUUUGUAUGUGUUUGAUCCAAUUUGUUUUGAUUAUAAGAUUAAAUUACCUUAGGGAUAACAGCGUUAUCCUCCUUGAGAGUUCUUAUCGGCAGGGGGGUUUGCGACCUCGAUGUUGGAUUAAGGUGAAUUUUUGGUGCAGGAGCUAUAAAGAUUUGAUUGGGUCUGUUCGACCUUUAGAACCUUACAUGAUCUGAGUUCAGACCGGCGUGAGCCAGGUUGGUUUCUAUCUAUAAUAACUUUUUAUGCUUUAGUACGAGAGGACCAGGCAUAAGGAAUAAUUUCGUAUUUGGUUGAGUUUCAGUAACU